UACAGAGGUGGCAAGCGUUGUUCGGAAUUACUGGGCGUAAAGGGCGCGUAGGCGGCCAUCUAAGUCAGACGUGAAAUCCCCCGGCUUAACCUGGGAACUGCGUCUGAUACUGGACGGCUUGAGUAUGGGAGAGGGAUGUAGAAUUCCAGGUGUAGCGGUGAAAUGCGUAGAUAUCUGGAGGAAUACCGGUGGCGAAGGCGGCAUCCUGGACCAAUAUUGACGCUGAGGAGCGAAAGCCAGGGGAGCAAACGGG
rnacentral:rRNA from 1 species